CAUCUUAGAUAUGCAGAGCAUUUCUCUGCCAGCCACAGGAAGAAGCAGCUGUGUUUGUGCCAUAGUUUCUUCCUUGAAUAAUCAGAAUUUGUUUAUUUCUCUCUCAGCCCAUAGUGCAGUGUUCCCAUCAGUCACAUGACAGUGGUAGCUGAACUAGUUGACUUUUUCUGUUGGAAUUUCAAAACGCUGAAUCCUGUCAAGCGAGGUAGUGGGCACAAAUUGGUUUGUGCUGAAUUCAUUGCAUAGACUACAGUUUGCACUAUGACACGGCGGUUUCCCUCUGUCUCUAAAGCUAACCUUUUGUUGAAGCUCUAAAAGGCUGAAGUGUUCUUUUGGUGUACUGUUUUCAUCUGACCUCGUCUUGUCACUUGUUCCUCACAGACGAACCUCACAUAUCCCCUGGUUCCAAUCAGGUCAAGAAAAGAAGGCUGGCUUUGCUAAAAUCACUGGUAUGCCUCAGGAUCUAGACUAAAGAGAAUUAUGCUUUCUGUUCCACAGCUGCCUUCAAUUAUUGAAACUGCACAUCUUUCAAUAAAGCAAGAUGGCAUAAACACUUGGCAUCCACUGCAAGAUGGAUAAACAUAAAAAAACACAGGCAUGGAAUCUAACAAAGAAAAACCCUCCAAGAAACUCUUUGUUUUAUCUACCCAUUUUAAUUAUUAUUUUUUUCUGCUUAUGUAAAUAAAGAAUUUAUAUGAUGACUAGCUGCUGUGGAACAUUAAAUACAGAACUAUCAUC